rnacentral:rRNA from 1 species
UACGAAGGGGGCUAGCGUUGUUCGGAAUUACUGGGCGUAAAGCGCACGUAGGCGGAUACUUAAGUCAGGGGUGAAAUCCCGGGGCUCAACCCCGGAACUGCCUUUGAUACUGGGUAUCUCGAGUCCGGAAGAGGUGAGUGGAAUUCCGAGUGUAGAGGUGAAAUUCGUAGAUAUUAGGAAGAACACCAGUGGCGAAGGCGGCUUACUGGUCCGGUACUGACGCUGAGGUGCGAAAGCGUGGGGAGCAAACAGG